GGGAACCCUGACGCAGCCAUGCCGCGUGAAUGAAGAAGGCCUUAGGGUUGUAAAGUUCUUUCGGUAUCGAGGAAGGUUGAUGUGUUAAUAGCACAUCAAAUUGACGUUAAAUACAGAAGAAGCACCGGCUAACUCCGUGCCAGCAGCCGCGGUAAUACGGAGGGUGCGAGCGUUAAUCGGAAUAACUGGGCGUAAAGGGCACGCAGGCGGUUAUUUAAGUGAGGUGUGAAAGCCCCGGGCUUAACCUGGGAAUUGCAUUUCAGACUGGGUAACUAGAGUACUUUAGGGAGGGGUAGAAUUCCACGUGUAGCGGUGAAAUGCGUAGAGAUGUGGAGGAAUACCGAAGGCGAAGGCAGCCCCUUGGGAAUGUACUGACGCUCAUGUGCGAAAGCGUGGGGAGCAAACAGGAUUAGAUACCCUGGUAGUCCACGCUGUAAACGCUGUCGAUUUGGGGGUUGGGGUUUAACUCUGGCGCCCGUAGCUAACGUGAUAAAUCGACCGCCUGGGGAGUACGGCCGCAA
rnacentral:rRNA from 1 species